rnacentral:lncRNA from 1 species
UAUUUUAUAAACUUUAAAGAAUCUUCAUAGGAUAGUAUACUCUUCUGGAAAGUGUCUCUUUCCCCUUCUCCUCUUCUUUAUUCUCCCUGCCUGGAAUGCAGAUGAUAGAGUUGGAGCUCCAGUAGCCAUCUUGAGAUCAUGAGGCAAUCCUGAGAAGGAAAGCUACACAUUAAGAAUGAGGGAGCAGAAAAAUUAAAGAAUACCAGGUCCUGGGAGACACUGUGGAGCCAACAUGCCAACCCUGCCUUUUGAAUGUCAAGUUAUAAGACAGUAAAAUACAUGUCUAUUAUAUUUGGUGGUGUCUGUCACCAAAAUCAAUCCCUAACUGACACAAGGGAUCAGAAAGAGUUAGAUCAGAAAGGAGGAAAUGUAAUUUUUUUUGGUAAAGUAAUAAUUGCACAAGCAUUUGCUAAAAUGAGAAGGAGGUUGCCAGAUAAAGUAAGGAAAGACCUUUCAUGCAGAGGGAACAGUAUGGUUAAAAUAUCAAGGAAGCCACUUGAUCACUUUCUCCUGAAAAAAUAACAUAUAUUAGAGUGGCUUGGUGAGGUUACUUCAAAUUAUAUUUGAUGAUUCCAGAGGAAGAAAUAGUAGAACUUCAGGUAUGCUGAGAAAGGCAUCUACCAGCAAAUUCGCCAAUGUGCCUGGGUCUGUGCUGUCAGACAGCUCUCCACAGUUAAAUGAAUGACUGCAGCAACAUCUUUUUCAAAAGUCGACAUACCCGGGGAUAAUACAGACCCAGAAAAGUCAUUUCCUCUGGAAAGAGUUCAAGGAGAUUGGAGGCUGACUGUGGUGAUGAACUGAUCUAUAAUUGUGACAGGCUAAUAUUGUCCCUGGGUGCUGCAACAGGCUUCAAGCACGAAAGAGCUCAGGAAACAAUCUCUUUAAAAAAGAUGAAGCACAGAUAAUGGUUUUAUUUUGUCUGAACCAAAUAGGAAAUCACAUCCUAAACCCUUUCAAUCACUUUGCAAUGUCG